GGACUGGUUUCUGCCUCUUUAAUAAAUGGGUGGUGCCUUGAACCACGUGACCUAUUUGCAUCCAAUGACAGACAUCGAAAUACAAAACUGGUUCAAACCGGUUUCGUUCUUAUGUUUCAGUGUAUAAACUACAAAAACAUUCGUUUGCAUUAUACAUUCGCCAUUUUACUCAGCAACUGGUCGGUUGUCGUUUGUUAUCUUUCCGAAAGGAGUCCAUUAUUACGGUUGCAUUUUUGAGAGCUUUGUGUGUCAUUUCCUAUCAACACCAUGGUUAAAUCUAAGAAAAACGUCCCAACUGAGGAAAGGAGAACUUCUGAGCGGCUGGCGAAGAAACCUAGACCUGCAGCAGUGGAGAAGAAAAAGGCUCCUGCAAAAAAGGUGCCCAAAGCAAAGAAGGCCAAACAAGCUGAAAAUGGGAGCACCAAGGCUGAGGAGCCAAAGGCCGAAGCCACUGACGCCAAAUGAAUAACGGUUGAUGUGCUUACUCUGUAUACUUGGUGAUUGUACAGUUUUAAAUAAGUAUUUUUUACCAAGUUUUAUAUUACAAAUGUCAUUUAUAGGUUUGUUUUGGGCUUGCACUUGAUGUAACAAAACUUUGUUGUCACAUUCAUAUCCAUUUAAAAAUGAUUACCGUCCAUAUCUUGUAGAGGUGGCAUUUUUAGUCGCUCUAAUUCAGUUUCUGUCUCUUUUUAUUUGUUUGUUUGUUUUGUUUCUUCUUUUUUUUUCAAACUGCUGAGUAAUAGAUAUUUUCAAGCAAGUUGGCGUUUGAAUCUAAUUUUAAACAUAAGGCAGCUAAAGCAUAUUGUCAAAAUUUAAGGGGGAGAAUAGGAAUUUUGCCUUUUAUCUCCUUGUAUUUUAAUGUUAAACUAAUAAAGAAAUUUGCUCACCAAAUGUUUCUGAAACAUUGCAUGUUAACAUGAGGUCUAGUCAUUGAAGAUGCCACUGAAAAAAUUACUGUCAUUAGGUCAAAAGUUUUGAUAUGUCCCAAAAAACAUGUAUGAUGUGAACCUGAAAAGUUGUGUUUCUGUUGGGGGGGAAAAGGAAGCUUUUCUGACUUUAACGGUUGAUCUAAAUGUUCUUGAAUAAAAAUUUUCAAAAUGU